rnacentral:lncRNA from 1 species
CCUCCUUAGUGACAAUUGCUCAUACAACAAAAAUAAGAGUAGAUCUAACUCCUAACUAUAAGCCCAUUUAAAUGUAGGGUGUCACGCCCCGACCGUAGGAACCCAAUAGACCGGGCCUGUGCUAUAGGACAUUAAGACUUCCCUCACACAACCAACACAAGUCUUUUCUACGCACUUUGUCCUCACUCAUGCGCACCCAAAAUAACUUCCCAGUCAGUCACCCAUCUCAAGAUUGCUCCAGGCCAAGCACGCUUAACCUUAGAACCUUGGAGUUUUCUUGAGAUAAGCUUCU